GACGAACGCUGGCGGCGUGCUUAACACAUGCAAGUCGAACGGAAAGGCCCUGCUUUUGUGGGGUGCUCGAGUGGCGAACGGGUGAGUAACACGUGAGUAACCUGCCCUUGACUUUGGGAUAACUUCAGGAGACUGGGGCUAAUACAGGAUAGGAGCUCCUGCUGCAUGGUGGGGGUUGGAAAGUUUCGGCGGUUGGGGAUGGACUCGCGGCUUAUCAGCUUGUUGGUGGGGUAGUGGCUUACCAAGGCUUUGACGGGUAGCCGGCCUGGGAGGGUGACCGGCCACCUUGGGACUGAGAUACGGCCCAGACUCCUACGGGAGGCAGCAGUGGGGAGUAUUGCACAAUGGGCGGAAGCCUGAUGCAGCAACGCCGCGUGCGGGAUGACGGCCUUCGGGUUAUAAACCGCUUUCGCCUUUGACGAAGCGGGAGUGACGGUAAUGAGUAAAGAAGCACCGGCUAACUACGUG
rnacentral:rRNA from 1 species